GACGAACGCUGGCGGCGUGCUUAACACAUGCAAGUCGAACGGUAAGGCCCUUCGGGGGACACGAGUGGCGAACGGGUGAGUAACACGUGGGUGAUCUGCCCUGCACUUCGGGAUAAGCCCGGGAAACUGGGUGUAAUACCCGCUAGGAGUCCUGGCUUCCUGGUUGGGGGUGGAAAGCUUUUGCGGUGUGGGAUGGGCCCGGGGCCUAUCAGCUUGUUGGUGGGGUAAUGGCCUACGAAGGCGACGACGGGUCGCCGGCCUGAGAGGGUGACCGGUCACACUGGGACUGAGAGACGGCCCAGACUCCUACGGGAGGCAGCAGUGGGGAAUAUUGCACAAUGGGCGCAAGCCUGAUGCAGCGACGCCGCGUGAGGGAUGACGGCCUUCGGGUUGUAAACCUCUUUCAGCUAUGACGAAGCGCAAGUGACGGUAGUAGCAGAAGAAGGACCGGCCAACUACGUGCCAGCAGCCGCCGUAA
rnacentral:rRNA from 1 species